CACUAUCGUUAACUGAAUACAUAGGUUAACGAGGCGAACCGGGGGAACUGAAACAUCUAAGUACCCCGAGGAAAAGAAAUCAACCGAGAUUCCCCCAGUAGCGGCGAGCGAACGGGGAGCAGCCCAGAGUCUGAAUCAGCUUGUGUGUUAGUGGAACGGUCUGGAAAGUCCGACGGUACAGGGUGAUAGUCCCGUACACCAAAAUGCACAGGUUGUGAACUCGAAGAGUAGGGCGGGACACGUGGUAUCCUGUCUGAAUAUGGGGGGACCAUCCUCCAAGGCUAAAUACUCCUGACUGACCGAUAGUGAACCAGUACCGUGAGGGAAAGGCGAAAAGAACCCCGGCGAGGGGAGUGAAAAAGAACCUGAAACCGUGUACGUACAAGCAGUGGGAGCACCUUCGGGUGUGACUGCGUACCUUUUGUAUAAUGGGUCAGCGACUUAUAUUCUGUAGCAAGGUUAACCGUAUAGGGGAGCCGCAGGGAAACCGAGUCUUAACUGGGCGUUAAGUUGCAGGGUAUAGACCCGAAACCCGGUGAUCUAGCCAUGGGCAGGUUGAAGGUUGGGUAACACUAACUGGAGGACCGAACCGACUAAUGUUGAAAAAUUAGCGGAUGACUUGUGGCUGGGGGUGAAAGGCCAAUCAAACCGGGAGAUAGCUGGUUCUCCCCGAAAGCUAUUUAGGUAGCGCCUCGUGAAUUCAUCUUCGGGGGUAGAGCACUGUUUCGGCUAGGGGGUCAUCCCGACUUACCAACCCGAUGCAAACUACGAAUACCGAAGAAUGUUAUCACGGGAGACACACGGCGGGUGCUAACGUCCGUCGUGAAGAGGGAAACAACCCAGACCGCCAGCUAAGGUCCCAAAGUCAUGGUUAAGUGGGAAACGAUGUGGGAAGGCACAGACAGCCAGGAUGUUGGCUUAGAAGCAGCCAUCAUUUAAAGAAAGCGUAAUAGCUCACUGGUCGAGUCGGCCUGCGCGGAAGAUGUAACGGGGCUAAACCAUGCACCGAAGCUGCGGCAGCGACACUAUGUGUUGUUGGGUAGGGGAGCGUUCUGUAAGCCUGCGAAGGUGACCUGUGAGGCAUGCUGGAGGUAUCAGAAGUGCGAAUGCUGACAUAAGUAACGAUAAAGCGGGUGAAAAGCCCGCUCGCCGGAAGACCAAGGGUUCCUGUCCAACGUUAAUCGGGGCAGGGUGAGUCGACCCCUAAGGCGAGGCCGAAAGGCGUAGUCGAUGGGAAACAGGUUAAUAUUCCUGUACUUGGUGUUACUGCGAAGGGGGGACGGAGAAGGCUAUGUUAGCCGGGCGACGGUUGUCCCGGUUUAAGCAUGUAGGCUGGUUAUCCAGGCAAAUCCGGAUAAUCAAGGCUGAGGUGUGAUGACGAGGCACUACGGUGCUGAAGUAACAAAUGCCCUGCUUCCAGGAAAAGCCUCUAAGCAUCAGGUAACAUCAAAUCGUACCCCAAACCGACACAGGUGGUCAGGUAGAGAAUACCAAGGCGCUUGAGAGAACUCGGGUGAAGGAACUAGGCAAAAUGGUGCCGUAACUUCGGGAGAAGGCACGCUGGUGUGUAGGUGAAGCCCCUGCGGGUGGAGCUGAGACCAGUCGAAGAUACCAGCUGGCUGCAACUGUUUAUUAAAAACACAGCACUGUGCAAACACGAAAGUGGACGUAUACGGUGUGACGCCUGCCCGGUGCCGGAAGGUUAAUUGAUGGGGUUAUCCGUAAGGAGAAGCUCUUGAUCGAAGCCCCGGUAAACGGCGGCCGUAACUAUAACGGUCCUAAGGUAGCGAAAUUCCUUGUCGGGUAAGUUCCGACCUGCACGAAUGGCGUAAUGAUGGCCAGGCUGUCUCCACCCGAGACUCAGUGAAAUUGAACUCGCUGUGAAGAUGCAGUGUACCCGCGGCAAGACGGAAAGACCCCGUGAACCUUUACUAUAGCUUGACACUGAACAUUGAGCCUUGAUGUGUAGGAUAGGUGGGAGGCUUUGAAGCGUGGACGCCAGUCUGCGUGGAGCCAACCUUGAAAUACCACCCUUUAAUGUUUGAUGUUCUAACGUUGGCCCCUUACCGGGGUUGCGGACAGUGUCUGGUGGGUAGUUUGACUGGGGCGGUCUCCUCCCAAAGCGUAACGGAGGAGCACGAAGGUUAGCUAAUCCUGGUCGGACAUCAGGAGGUUAGUGCAAUGGCAUAAGCUAGCUUGACUGCGAGCGUGACGGCGCGAGCAGGUGCGAAAGCAGGUCAUAGUGAUCCGGUGGUUCUGAAUGGAAGGGCCAUCGCUCAACGGAUAAAAGGUACUCCGGGGAUAACAGGCUGAUACCGCCCAAGAGUUCAUAUCGACGGCGGUGUUUGGCACCUCGAUGUCGGCUCAUCACAUCCUGGGGCUGAAGUAGGUCCCAAGGGUAUGGCUGUUCGCCAUUUAAAGUGGUACGCGAGCUGGGUUUAGAACGUCGUGAGACAGUUCGGUCCCUAUCUGCCGUGGGCGCUGGAGAAUUGAGGGGGGCUGCUCCUAGUACGAGAGGACCGGAGUGGACGCAUCACUGGUGUUCGGGUUGUCAUGCCAAUGGCACUGCCCGGUAGCUAAAUGCGGAAGAGAUAAGUGCUGAAAGCAUCUAAGCACGAAACUUGCCCCGAGAUGAGUUCUCCCUGAGACUUUAAGUCUCCUGAAGGAACGUUGAAGACGACGACGUUGAUAGGCCGGGUGUGUAAGCGCAGCGAUGCGUUGAGCUAACCGGUACUAAUGAACCGUGAGGCUUAACCUU
rnacentral:rRNA from 1 species